rnacentral:misc_RNA from 1 species
AACGCACAUUGCGCCCGCCAGUAUUCUGGCGGGCAUGCCUGUUCGAGCGUCAUUUCAACCAUCAAGCCCCAGGCUUGUGUUGGGGACCUGCGGCUGCCGCAGGCCCUGAAAACCAGUGGCGGGCUCGCUGUCACUCCGAGCGUAGUAGUUUACAUCUCGCUCAGGGCGUGCUGCGGGUUCCGGCCGUUAAAAGCCUUAUUUUACCCAAGGUUGACCUCGGAUCAGGUAGGAAGACCCGCUGAACUUAA